CUCCCCGCCUAAGUUUGUUCGCGGGGCGGGGCGAGGCAGGAUAUCACGUGACCCUGCGAGUGGCUCAGAUCCGAACUGGCCGCCUUUCUCCCCUUCCCCCACCCCAGGUAAAGAAUUUGAGACACAAGUGAUUGAGUAACUUGUCCGAGAUCACGGCUGUGUGGUGCAGAAGCUGGAUUCUGAUCUGCGGCGGGUUGGCUCCAGAACGUGAGUUGUUGAACACAAUUCUGGUGAAAGACAACCCAAGACGUUCGUUACCCUCCAGGGGGGACCUACUGAAGAUGUGCUGCUUUAGUUGAAUCCCACACCACAGUCAGUCUCUGGCGAGGCUUCAGCCACCACCCCCUCCCCAGCCUCCGCCAAAAAAAUUGAUAAUUUGGUGGAAGAAUAUUAAAUUGAUUUUCCUUCAGAAUAAAGGCUACUUUUCAGUUUGCAGUUUACAA
rnacentral:sRNA from 1 species